GACCUGCAGUGGGUACGGGCACACUAGAGUGCGGUAGGGGAGAUUGGAAUUCCUGGUGUAGCGGUGGAAUGCGCAGAUAUCAGGAGGAACACCAAUGGCGAAGGCAGAUCUCUGGGCCGUAACUGACGCUGAGGAGCGAAAGCGUGGGGAGCGAACAGGAUUAGAUACCCUGGUAGUCCACGCCGUAAACGGUGGGAACUAGAUGUGGGGUCCGUUCCACGGAUUCCGUGUCGCAGCUAACGCAUUAAGUUCCCCGCCUGGGGAGUACGGCCGCAAGGCUAAAACUCAAAGGAAUUGACGGGGGCCCGCACAAGCGGCGGAGCAUGCGGAUUAAUUCGAUGCAACGCGAAGAACCUUACCAAGGCUUGACAUAUAGAGGAAAGGUGCAGAAAU
rnacentral:rRNA from 1 species